GUUCACCGGCAUGCGCUCCAACUAAGUGCACCACACCUCCCUCUCUCCCUUAUCCCCUCUCAUCACGUUCUCUCUCCCUCCCCUUCCUCCCUCGACUCCGAUCCAGAUCCAGGGCCAUGGUGCCCCCUCUUCCCCAUCGCCGCCGGCCACCAUCCCCACACUUUCUCUCCCUUGUCCCUUGGAUCCAUCUCUUCCAUGGCUGCCUCCCACACCGUCUCCUCCUUCCCCCAUCUCAUCCUGUUUUUCUUGUUUGGGAGCGACGAGGGAUUGGCGAGGCUGGAGGCGAGCUCGUGGAAGAGCGGGAGCGGGGCUGGCGAGGGGAGGGCGCGGAAGAAGGAGAGCGUCGCCGCUGGGGUGGGCACGGUGCAGAUGCCGUGGAGCGCGACCAGGGGGUUGUCCGGUGGGGGCGGCGGCGGGAGGAAGGGGAGCGGAGGCGGAGGCGCAGCAAGUCAAUGAGGCACGCACGGCGGAGUUAGGUGGCGACACAGCUGUCGGGUGGGGGCAUCGCGUGGCAGAGGAGCGGCUAUCAGGCGGGGGCAUCGCGUGGCAGAGGAGACGGCAGCGGCGGCGAGACGAGGGACGCCCGAGCUCCUCGGCCCAGCUCAACAGAAGGUUUUACAGCUCGAGUCAUACUCAGAUAUGCCCAUCAGUUCAGCAACAUCACAGAUAGAAAAGCAUAUCUGGUCUGAUGGAAUAGAAGAAAGCACAUGUGAACUCAAGAACAAUACAACACAUUACAUAGUGGGGGAGAACAGCCAGUUUGGGGGAAAUAUACUUGUAGAUCAGUAGAAGAUUUGCAAACUGCAACCAUGGCUCAAGGACUGCAACCCUGGAUCACGAAGAUGCAUGAAAACACACACACAAUUCAGUACAUAAAAUGGUUCCAUGGAUUAAACAUUAAAGCCUCAUUCCCUAACACUGGAAAAUUCAGUAGAAGCUUUGCACAUAGCAGUCAUCGCCGCCAACGAUGUGCAAACCAGAAAAACGGGGAACGUUUGACCUAGGCCAGAAUCUUCAAUCACCGCUCAGUGUGCCACGCGCUGGACAAGCAGGUCAAGAGCAGGGUCCACUUCAAGGAUAUGGAUGACUAUCUGAAGGGAUGCAGGUUUCUUCCCAAACUUAACAACAAGAUACUAGGUGAAAGAAAUGCUCCCUACAAGGAAAGGUUGAGCAGCCUAGAGAAUUUAGUACUGAUCAGGGUACAAGAUAGCGACAGAGUGCUGCAGGAUAAUGAGAUGUUGAAGCAGCGGACUGAAUCCAUGACACCGAAGUGCAAUUGCGGCAGAUUAUCUCUAUCUUUUCUUUUCAUUUUUCUUAUUAUUGAGUGAGAAUAGAAUGAGGAACUGUGUGAUAGUACAUACAACAACUGUAGUAAAAAGAAACUUAUGUUUGCAAUUGUUAAUGACAUAGAUACUUGCAUGUUCUUUGAA